GGUCAGCUGACACAUCCUGGCCAAUCUCCAGCAGACCCUCCCUCCCAGACCCUCCUACUUCCUGGACAGCAUCCAUGUUGAAGCUGCCUUCAACAUGGAUGCUGUCCAGGAGGUGGGAGGGUCUGGGAGGGAGGGUCUGCCGGAGAUUGGCAGGGGUGUGUCAGCUG
rnacentral:miRNA from 1 species